GGUAUUGUGGCCGAGCGGUCUAAGGCGCCACGUUAAGGUCCACAUCCUUAAUCUCAAUCCCGUGGUCCGAAAGGGCAUGAGUUCGAAUCUCAUCGAUAUCA